ensembl:snRNA Rnu6-543 RNA, U6 small nuclear 543
GUACUCACUUCAGCAGCACAUAUAAGAAGAUUUGAAUAAUGUACAGAAGUUUGGCAGGUCCCCUGUACAAGGAUAACAUGCAAAUUUGUGAAAUUACAUAUAUUGCA